rnacentral:rRNA from 1 species
CCUACGGGAGGCUGCAGUGAGGAAUAUUGGUCAAUGGGCGCGAGCCUGAACCAGCCAAGUCGCGUGAGGGAGGACGGCCCUACGGGUUGUAAACCUCUUUUGCCGGGGAGCAACGGGCGCCACGUGUGGCGUCACUGAGAGUACCCGGAGAAAAAGCAUCGGCUAACUCCGUGCCAGCAGCCGCGGUAAUACGGAGGAUGCGAGCGUUAUCCGGAUUUAUUGGGUUUACAGGGAGCAUAGAUGGGGUGUUAAGUCAGUUGUGAAAGUUUGCGGCUCAACCGUAAAAAUGCAAUUGAUACGUGCAGUCUGUAGUACAGUUGGGGGAGGCGGAAGUCGUGGUGUAGCGGUGAAAUGCUUAGAUAUCACGAAGAACUCCGAUUGCGAAGGCAGCUUACUAAACUGCCACUGACAUUGAUGCUCGAAAGUGUGGGUAUCAAACAGGAUUAGAUACCCCUGUAGUC